AGGAGUAACGUAGUAAAAGGCAAGAAGAUUUUGUUCACAAGGGUACCCAGUGCCACACUGUGGAAAAAAGAGGCAAGCACAGACUGGGCCAGAACUCCAUGGGCUCUGGGCAGCAGCCAGGUCAGGCCAUUGGAUCCCCUUACACAGACGCCAACAGAACACAGCAUCACCUGGGGAGAGGAGACACCGGUGGAGUAUUUGAAGAAUCCAGAGAAUUACAUCCUUGGAACAAAAACAGUCUUCACUGGCAUUAACAAGAAGGUAGAAAGAACAGACUUGAUAACUUAUCUCAAAAAAGCCACUAAUGAGUAA
rnacentral:lncRNA from 1 species